UUUGAAGAGCUGCAGCUCACAGCUGGCAGACAUAGGGAUGACCUAUGCAACACUAAACUGGAGAUUGCUGAGAUCAACUGCAUGAUCCAGAGGCUGAGAUCUGAGAUUGACCACAUUAAGAAGCAGGAGAGAUCUAUGGUACAUGUUCAUUUUUGUUGCUCUCUAUGCACAGCCUGCCAACCUGAAGAAUGUCAUUGCUGAUGAUAAGCAGUGUGGGGAGAUGGCCCUGAAGGAUGCCAGGGAUAAGCUAGAAGGGCUAAAGGAUGCCCUGCAGAAGGCCAAACAGUACAUGGCCAGGCUGCUGAAGGAGUACCAGGAGCUCAUGAAUGUCAAGCUGACCCUUGAUGUAGAAAUUGCCACCUACAGGAAGAUUAUGGAAGACAAGGAGUGCACUGUUGUGACGUCACCCAUGUCCAGUGGCUAUGGCAGUGCAGGUGGUGUCAGCAACAGUUUAGGCCUGGGUGGAGGCAGCAGCCAUGUCCUUGGAGAUGGCUUCAGUGCUGGCAGUGGCAGAGUCAUUGGAGGUGGCCUCAGCUCUUCUGGUGGCAGUUCUUCCAUCAUCAAGUUCACUACUACCUCCUCAAGAAGAAAGAGCUCCAAUCACUGA
rnacentral:lncRNA from 1 species